CAUAUAGCCUCCUCCGCAGGCAACUCUUUGGCAAAAAUUGGCAAAAGUAUUAUGAAUAACAGCGAAUUUAAAGUUAGGGACUGUUAGGGAUCACUAGCAAUUUUGUAUUCAUAAUACUUUUGCCAAUUUUUGCCAAAGAGUUGCCUGCGGAGGAGGCUAUCCC